CAGGUGCCUGCGCCCAGGAUGGGCGGGGGGCGGCUGGACACCGCGUGGGUUGAGGAGACCGGCGCUUGGCAGGAUGGAUUCCCUCCCUGGCGAGGACUCUGGAACUCUGAAACUCUUGGGUGUCUUCCUGGCCAAGCGGUGACCCCUGAGGCUCCUGAGAAGGUCGGGGAUGUCCAUGAUGUAUGGUAUAGAGAUCCAAGACCGUGUUCGCAAUACGGUGCCGCAGGAUCUGUGACUUUUUUCAAUAACGGAGAAGUUAUUGCAGGUGUGAUCGUCUUGAAAGGAAAAGGAGGGAAACAAACACUAAUGAUUUCUCUGCCGGGGAAGGAUAAAUUACAUCAAGAAACGUUACACGCAUAGAUCUCUCAUGGGUCUAGACCAUUGUUCCUUCGAUUGAAGAAGUCUGACGAUUCUGGGAAAUCGUAACGUAUCUGAUUUGUAUUAGAAGAAAAGGAUUAGUUUAAACUUUUAAAGGCUGGUUGAAAAAGAGUCUGGCAGUUUUGAGAAAUUUUUAAAUGUCUGGAUUGUAAUAAAAGAGAAUGGUUUAUAUGAAA